rnacentral:lncRNA from 1 species
AACAAAUCAUUCACAAUGUUACCACAUAAUUAGAUCAAAUCUAUUAACAUGAUCACUUAAUAAUUUUUCUUAGUUUUAACAGAUCCAAAAAAUAUAUAUAUGUAAAGUUUCGGACCCAUUGCUGCAAAGAGUCUAGAUUGCAAAUAAUUUAAAAUACAAAAAAAAAGAAAUUAAUUACAAUAGGCCCGAAGAAGAAAGAAAUCGGACUGUCCGGAGAAAGACGACAGAAAAUCUAGCUGUCACCUAAAAAUUAAAAUUGAGACUGCCAGUCUCGAAAAUGAGUUAAAAUCAUAUAAUCCAAGUAAAUAAAAAUAUCUCAGUGAAAUAUUUAUUUUGUCAAAAUAAAUUAUUAUAUUAUAUUAAAAGGCAUGUUAUAUCCUAUUUCAGAAAAACACCAUUUAGCAUGUACGGGACAAGUACCUCAGCAGAACUCUAGACUCCAAUACCAUUAGCCAAUCGGCUCUCUUAUUUUGAUGAUACUGGCGCCCAGAGAGCGAAGCUCAACUAGAGUCCGUAAAUCCAGUCUGGACACUUAAUUUCUAAUGUAGCUGGCGCCUAGAGAGGAACGCUUGACUAGGAACCUUUCCUCUAGCAAUCAAAUUUCCAUAGCCCAGGGAGUUAUACUCGACAAGGCCACAUCACAAAAAUAUUCUCUUAUUAUUUGUUCUUGAUUUAUACUAGUAUGCACGCGGUCUUGAUGCAACCCAUCAAGUAGUAUGUUUUACUGCAAUCUCAUCCUAAGUCAUACUACAAUCAUGACAUUAAUAACAUGAAAAAUGACAUAAUUCGUAAGCAAUCUUACGAUUGAACAAUUCAAAAGCAAUCUUACUAUUGUUCAAUAACUUAUUAAAUAAGAUUGAACAGAACACGUAUUGCAUAUAUAAACUUAAUUAAUUAAAUUCCUAGAUCAAUUAAUUAAAUAAAUAAUUUAGAUCCAUAAAUCAAUUAAUUAAAUAUAUAAUAGUAAAUAAUAAAAAAUUUCAAAUUAUAAUCAAAAUAAUGAAAAUAUAUUAAUAUGAUGAUAAUACUAAUAAUAUUUGUAAUAAUUAUUAGUCGAAAAUGCUACAUAAAAAUUGGCAGGCAUAUAUGCAGAGGAUAUGACUUUAACUCACAGUUCUGACGACCCUCUUGCUGUGCUCCUACGACUCUGGUGGGGCAGGUUAGAUAGACGGGUUAUCUAUUCACGGGAACAACAACCUAGGCUUAAAUUCAUAGAAUUGAUUGUCUAAGAAUUUCGACUCAAAAAUUCUACCAAAAAUUUGGCAAAAUCUCAUCUAAAAUAUAGAAAUUUAUGCUCCGUAUAACAGGUCUAGAACCUGCUAAAAACACUUCAAAAAUUCCCCAAUUAUUUAACAGGGGCUGUGCCACCAGAACUACAUUAUUUUUUUUCAAUUUCGCAACGCAAUUCAGAUAGAGAUUAUUUAUCUACUCGGCAUAAAUAUUUAAUUUACAACCAACUCUAAUAAGUAAUUUGCUCGUAUCUAAAUUAAUUAUUCAAAACGAUAUUUAUCACAAAACAAAAUAAUAACUAAUCAUACUAAUAAAUUCAUAAGAUUUAUAAUUAAAUUAUCAAUUAAUUAAAUCAAAUUAAAUUAAAUUAUCUAUUAUUGACAAUUAGUAGUAAUAAUAUUUUCUAAAAUUUUUAAGGUUGAAAUAAAAUUUACCGACUCCCAAAAUCUAAAAUUUGCACAUCCUGAAAACUCCAGGAUAUAACGGUGUCAGAAUUCGAACCCAUAAACGCUUAUGCGAAGCUUGAGGUAUGGAGAGUCCGAAAACACUGAAAUCACGACCAACUCUCGCUUGGAGGACGCCAGAUCGCGGCCGAAAAAGUGCUGCUCUAGUGAAACUACACCAAAGCUGUCGGAGACGAUGAAGGCUAGAGGAUGAGCUGUUCUUGGGUUUCAGAGGGUGGGGAACACAAACCCACCGUCGGAUUUGCAAGUAAGAGGUGGCAAGCGGCUGGUUGCACGGUGGCAGCGGGGAAGGAAUGAGAAGAGGAAGACGAUGCUAGCGAGAAGAGAGAAAAAGAAAAAAAAAAUGGUGGGUUGUUAGAGGUGCAGGCAGCGGAAAUGGAGGUAGGGAGGAGGAGGAGGAGGAGGAGUGUGACGUCGGGGAAGAAAAAGGAUGGGGAGGGCUUGAAAGAAAUUUUCC